GACGAACGCUGGCGGCGUGCUUAACACAUGCAAGUCGAACGGAAAGGCCCUGCUUUUGUGGGGUGCUCGAGUGGCGAACGGGUGAGUAACACGUGAGUAACCUGCCCUUGACUUUGGGAUAACUUCAGGAAACUGGGGCUAAUCCCGGAUAGGAGCUCCUGCUGCAUGGUGGGGGUUGGAAAGUUUCGGCGGUUGGGGAUGGACUCGCGGCUUAUCAGCUUGUUGGUGGGGUAGUGGCUUACCAAGGCUUUGACGGGUAGCCGGCCUGAGAGGGUGACCGGCCACAUUGGGACUGAGAGACGGCCCAGACUCCUACGGGAGGCAGCAGUGGGGAAUAUUGCACAAUGGGCGGAAGCCUGAUGCAGCAACGCCGCGUGCGGGAUGACGGCCUUCGGGUUGUAAACCGCUUUCGCCUGUGACGAAGCGUGAGUGACGGUAAUGGGUAAAGAAGCACCGGCUAACUACGUG
rnacentral:rRNA from 1 species